AGAGUUUGAUCCUGGCUCAGAUUGAACGCUGGCGGCAUGCUUUACACAUGCAAGUCGAACGGCAGCACGGGGGCAACCCUGGUGGCGAGUGGCGAACGGGUGAGUAAUAUAUCGGAACAUAUCCGGAAGUGGGGGAUAACGUAGCGAAAGUUACGCUAAUACCGCAUAUGCCCCGAGGGGGAAAGGGGGGGAUCCGCAGGACCUCUCGCUUUCGGAGUGGCCGAUAUCAGAUUAGCUAGUAGGUGAGGUAAAGGCUCACCUAGGCGACGAUCUGUAGCUGGUCUGAGAGGACGACCCGCCACACUGGAACUGAGACACGGUCCAGACUCCUACGGGAGGCAGCAGUGGGGAAUUUUGGACAAUGGGCGAAAGCCUGAUCCAGCCAUACCGCGUGAGUGAAGAAGGCCUUCGGGUUGUAAAGCUCUUUCAGCCGGAAAGGAAUCGUAUCUAUUAAUACUAGAUGCGGAUGACGGUACCGGAAGAAGAAGCACCGGCUAACUACGUGCCAGCAGCCGCGGUAAA
rnacentral:rRNA from 1 species